UGUUUUCGUGCCCGCCGACCGCCAGGAGGAAUCGGACCCGCUCGACAGCGCCGGCGCGCUGCUCGCCACCCUCGGGCUCGGACUCACCACCUGGGGGCUGACCGAAGGCUCGGCGCAUGGCUGGUCGCUAUUCGCCGUGGCGGGCUGCGUAUUCCUGAUCGCGUUCGUGUGGGCGGAGCAUCGCCGCGGCGACAGGGCGA
rnacentral:misc_RNA from 1 species